AUUGAACGCUGGCGGCAGGCUUAACACAUGCAAGUCGAGCGGAGCGAGGGUGCUUGCACCUUAGCUUAGCGGCGGACGGGUGAGUAAUGCUUAGGAGUCUGCCUAUUAGUGGGGGACAACAUUCCGAAAGGGAUGCUAAUACCGCAUACGCCCUACGGGGGAAAGCAGGGGAUCUUCGGACCUUGCGCUAAUAGAUGAGCCUAAGUCGGAUUAGCUAGUUGGUGGGGUAAAGGCCUACCAAGGCGACGAUCUGUAGCGGGUCUGAGAGGAUGAUCCGCCACACUGGGACUGAGACACGGCCCAGACUCCUACGGGAGGCAGCAGUGGGGAAUGUUGGACAAUGGGCGGAAGCCUGAUCCAGCCAUGCCGCGUGUGUGAGGAAGGCCUUUUGGUUGUAAAGCACUUUAAGCGAGGAGGAGGCUACUAGUAUUAAUACUACUGGAUAGUGGACGUUACUCGCAGAAUAAGCACCGGCUAACUCUGUGCCAGCAGCCGCAGUAA
rnacentral:rRNA from 1 species